AUCAUGGCGUUAGUAUCUACCGCCAAAAAAUGCGGUUGACCUCACUGUUGUGAGAUUAUAUUUUCAGCAUUUAUAGAGGUGACAAUGCCGUAACAGAGGUGUUGGAGAUUAUUUAUGCACCAAGGAACAGGUGUGUAAGGUGUGGAAGUGGUGUUGAUAAGGGAUUAGUGUGUUGGGAGGGAAAGAAGUGGUGGUGACAGUGGUGAUGGCCGUGUGGUGUUUGGUAUUGCUUAUAGACCCCAUAAACACACUCAAACACCCCGCAACACAUCCAGAACGUGCCCAUGUACACCCACACACAGAAAGUGAAGUGAUGACAUUCCCGACAGCACCAAACGGCGAGACGAGAGCAGUGCAAGCCUUCACCACAACCCUCCACAGCGCCUGACGAUAAUUUAUUUAAGUUCAAGACAACUUGUAUGAGGAACAUCAAUUUGAAAAAAAAAGUAUAGUCAAAACCUACAAGCUAAGUGUAGUGUGCUGUUCAGGUGUCUAGUCUAGAACACCUGAACCAUUGCAGACAAGAGAUCAAAUUUUCAGGACAACUAAUUAACACAAUCAACCUGUAUGUGAGUACUACUACAGAAAUAAAAUCAAUGAAUAACAAAA